AGAGUUUGAUCCUGGCUCAGGAUGAACGCUGGCGGGAUGCCUAAGACAUGCAAGUCGAACGAAGGAACCCAAAGAAGAUGGAGUGCUUGCACGAAAUUGGAAAUGGACACUUCCUUAGUGGCAAACGGGUGAGUAACACGUGGGUAACCUACCUUUAAGAUGGGGAUAACAGUUGGAAACGAUUGCUAAUACCGAAUGUGAUCUACGGAUUAAAGGGGCAAAAAAGCCUCGCUUAAAGAUGGGCCUGCGGCGUAUUAGAUAGUUGGUGAGGUAAUGGCUCACCAAGUCGACGAUACGUAGCCGAGCUGAGAGGUAAAACGGCCACACUGGGACUGAGACACGGCCCAGACUCCUACGGGAGACAGCAGUUAGGAAUAUUCGUCAAUGGGGGGAACCCUGAACGAGCAAUGCCGCGUGAGUGAAGAAGGUCCUCUGGAUUGUAAAACUCUGUUGUAUGGAAAGAAUAGUUAAAUUAGGAAAUGAAUUUAAAAGAGACGGUACCAUACGAGGAAGCCACGGCUAACUACGUGCCAGCAGCCGCGGUAAAACGUAGGUGGCGAGCGUUAUCCGGAUUUAUUGGGCGUAAAGCGUCCGCAGCCGGCACUUUAAGUCUGUAAUAAAAGCCUGGAGCUCAACUCCAGUUCGUUACAGAAACUGAAAGGCUAGAGUGUGGUAGAGGCAAGUGGAAUUUCUAGUGUAGCGGUAGAAUGCGUAGAUAUUAGAAGGAACACUAGUGGCGAAGGCGACUUGCUGGGCAAAACUGACGGUCAGGGACGAAAGCGUGGGGAGCAAAUAGGAUU
rnacentral:rRNA from 1 species